rnacentral:miRNA from 1 species
GAAAGGCCUACUUGAGAUCCAGCUGUAAGGCAUUUUCUCAACUAGUGAUCAAUGUGGGAAGGCCCAGCCCCUUGUGGGUGGUGCCAUCUCUGGGCUGGUGGUCCUG